GACGAACGCUGGCGGCGUGCUUAACACAUGCAAGUCGAACGGAAAGGCCCUGCUUUUGUGGGGUGCUCGAGUGGCGAACGGGUGAGUAACACGUGAGUAACCUGCCCUUGACUUUGGGAUAUCUUCAGGAAACUGGGGCUAAUACCGGCUAGGAGCUCCUGCUGCAUGGUGGGGGUUGGAAAGUUUCGGCGGUUGGGGAUGGACUCGCGGCUUAUCAGCUUGUUGGUGGGGUAGUGGCUUACCAAGGCCUUGACGGGUAGCCGGCCUGCGAGGGUGACCGGCCACAUUGGGACUGAGAUACGGCCCAGACUCGUACGGGAGGCAACGGUGGGGAAUAUUACACAAUAGGCGGAAGCCUGAUGCAACAACGCCGCGUGCGGGAUGACGGCCUUGGGGUUGUAAACCGCUUUCGCCUGUGACGAGGCGUGAGUGACGGUAAUGGGAGAAGAAGCACCGGCUAACUACGUG
rnacentral:rRNA from 1 species